GUGGUUUUCGGAACCCCGCGUACGCGCGCGCCACACACGAUAUAAUUCGUCAUCGCAUUUAGGUAAAUUUUCCAAAAGUAAAUUUCCCAACCACUGAUAACACCACGCCGAAGCGUCGAAGGUGAUUUGAUCUGGGGCAGUUCAAACCGCCAUUAACUAGAACAAGCUGCAAUGCAAUAUCAGCCCAAACUUAAUUCUGUCUUCACCCAGAAGACAAACCAAUAAUGGCAUUAUAAAAAUUGGGUUAAGUAAAACGAAAUUCGUCACCAUUGUUGGGCAUUUCCCACGAAUUUAACGGUGGCAUGAUUCAAACAGAGUACAUUUAUGAAAGUAGAAAGCAAACAAUGCUAAGUAAACGAUGAACGAGAUAAGCUGAUCAUGAAAAUCAGUGGCAGGAAUGAUCAAGGACGAGGACAACACCAGGAUGUGGGCAAUGGCAGCUGGCGCAGCGCAGGAUGCGGAUUACCGCGCGCGCCAUGUUUACCUGCGGAAUGGAACAACAUGCACGCCGAUGAGCGCACACAAAAAUACGCGCGUUAAUAAUAAUUAACGCUCUAUUUGCACAGCCCGCGUUUAUUUGUUGUUUAUUAAUGGUCCCAGCGCCCCGCUAGCGACGUCACGCGUGGCGAGUAACCACGCGACGGCGCUAUAAAUCAAUCAGUGAAUUUCGUGCAACAAACAGAAUUCCUCUAUCAUUACGUUAUUAACUUUGACAAUCACGAAAAGCUGUAUUUCAGUACGAACAUAUUCGAACAUGUGUUGAGAAUUUCAGUUAUCUGAAAACGAUAUGAGAAAAACUCGGAAUUUUUCGAUGACAAUGAACGAGUUACCCC